CAAGUGUAAAGACCCGCCCUUAAUCAAAUUUUUCCAGUCUUGUCCGGGCCGUGUCUGCGCUCCCGGGGGACUCAACGCGCGCUGAGAGACAUCUGGAAAACCCCCAGCCCAAGAGCCCGUCCCCGUGCCUUUCUUGAUGUAUGUUGACGGCUUGUAGAGAGUUGUAUGAUUGCAUUCUAUGAGUGUAUUUAUGACUUUGAUAAAGAGUCAGAGAAGUGUCGACGUGCUCGGUUGCGUCCACUACCCUGGCGUGGAACUCCAACGGUUCUUUUGUAGACAGCUAUCUCUCGAGGUCGACAUCCCGGUUCCGUUUUCUUUUGCAGCCAGGAAGUCUUGUUCGGAAUGUGGAAAUGCAGAUACGUCCAAAAGGAGCCACAUGACGGCAUCUGCACUUCGUUCUUUCAACUAUAUCCAGCCUCGAAUGCAGGAUGCGUGCUGCGGGGCCUUGAAAUUCGAGUUUGUCAUCGAGCCUGGGAAGGAUUGAAAUUUUCGUUUUUCACUGCUAAAACGCGGCCUCCUCUCUCUACAGUACACAUUCUUCCAUGGGAAGCUCCAUGUGAAUGUAGCGAAUGCCUUAUAGGUACCCAUGAUACGGUUAUGUGACGGAUCUUGUCCACCGGUCGGUCUUUCCCGCGAACGCGGUGAAAAUGUCGUGACAAAACAAGUGUCGCGCAAUGUUAAAAGCCGCGUUUAGUGAAAGAGUAAAACAGCCUCUACGUUGUGCAUUAGAAACUCGUCGGUAUGAACUCUACUAUUUUUAGGUGCGAGUCUGCUUGUGUUCAUGCUCAAGUUAUUCUAGCUGUAGGCCUUUUAUGUAAACACGCAGAUGUAACCUACCUCACAUCGUGUGUCGGCCGCGUUUCCCGGAUAGUUCACUUUCCCGACAAUCACGAUCUACCGGAAUGACUGCCGCCCGUCCUGUGCCUGAAAUAAAGAAACUGUGGCUCUCUUUUCCUAAUUCCUUUCCUGCACUGUUGGGUAUGCGCCGGUGUACGCCACCGGUUAUUGUUCGUUUGUUAGGACCCCAGACAUGCAAUUCACGCUCCUCCAUCUUGUCCACGAGAUGUGUGUUUGCGAAAUACACUCUGUACUCGUCCUCUUCAGCUUGCGUUUCCUUGCU
rnacentral:lncRNA from 1 species